rnacentral:rRNA from 1 species
CUCCUUCUGAUUCAGCGGCGGACGGGUGAGUAACACGUGGGCAACCUGCCCUGUAGAUUGGGAUAACUCCGGGAAACCGGGGCUAAUACCGAAUAAUCCUUCGGACCUCAUGGUCCGAUGUUGAAAGACGGUUUCUCCUGUCCCUUCCGGAUGGGCCCCCCGCCCAAUUACUUAUUUGGGAAGUAACGGCUCCCCCAGGGCAACAUUCCUAACCCAACUGAGAGGGUGAUCGGCCCCCCUGGGACUGAAACCCCGCCCAAAAUCCUACGGGAAGGAGCAGUAAGGAAUCUUCCACAAUGGAACAAAGUCUUAUGGAACCACCCCCCCGGAAUGAAGAAGGGUCUUCGAUCCUAAAACUUUGUUGUGAAGGAAGAACCAGUACCGGAAUAACUGGCGGUACCUUGGCCGUACCUUAUUAAAAAGCCACCGCUAACUACCUGGCAACCGCCCCCGUUAUUCCUAAGUUGCAAGCGUUGUCCGGAAUCCUUGGGCGUAAAGCGCGCGCAGCCGGCCCUUUAGUCUGAUGUGAAACCCACGGCUCACCGUGGAAGGUCAUGGAAACUGGGGGACUUGAGUGCAAAAAAGAAAGCGGAAUUCCAAGUGUACCGGUGAAAUGCGUAGAGAUUUGGAGGACACCAGUGGCGAAGCGGCUUUCUGGUCUGUACUGACGCUAAGCGCGAAGCGUGGGAGCAACAGGAUAAAUCCCUGGUAGUCCCCCCGUAACGAUGAUGCUAGUGUUAGGGGUUUCCC